CAAUAGCGUAUAUUUAAGUUGUUGCAGUUAAAAAGCUCGUAGUUGGAUUUCGGAUGGGAUUUGCCGGUCCGUCGUUACGAUGUGCACUGGCCAGUCCUAUCUUGUUGUCGGGGACUAGCUCCUUGGAUUCACUUCCUGGGACUAGGAGCUGACGAGGUUACUUUGAGUAAAUUAGAGUGUUCAAAGCAAGCCUACGCUCUGAAUACAUUAGCAUGGAAUAACACGAUAGGACUCUGGCUUAUCUUGUUGGUCUGUGAGACCAGAGUAAUGAUUAAGAGGGACAGUCGGGGACACUCGUAUUUCAUUGUCAGAGGUGAAAUUCUUGGAUUUAUGAAAGACGAACUUCUGCGAAAGCAUUUGUCAAGGAUGUUUUCAUUAA
rnacentral:rRNA from 1 species